UACGAAGGGGGCUAGCGUUGUUCGGAAUUACUGGGCGUAAAGGGCGCGUAGGCGGUGUGUCAAGUCAGGCGUGAAAGCCCCGGGCUCAACCUGGGAACAGCGCUUGAGACUGGCACGCUCGAGUUCGGGAGAGGAUGGUGGAAUUCCCAGCGUAGAGGUGAAAUUCGUAGAUAUUGGGAAGAACACCGAUGGCGAAGGCAGCCAUCUGGACCGACACUGACGCUGAGGCGCGAAAGCGUGGGGAGCAAACAGG
rnacentral:rRNA from 1 species